UACUACGGGGCCGUGGAGGAGGAGAAGCCACAAUUUGAGGAAGAAGAAGGGCUUGAAGGUGAGAUCAGCUGGGGCACUGGGCUGGGGAUUGGGGACUGGGGACUGGGACUGAAGCCCAGGGUCCCACCCUGGCCCCACCUGUCUGUUCUCCCUGCAUCCAGACGACUGGAACUGGGACACGUGGGACGGGCCUGAGCAGGAGGGAGACUGGAGCCAGCAGGAGCUGCACUGUGAGGACCCCAACUUCAACGUAGGUAUCACGGGUUGAGGGAGUCCCAGGGGCCCUGACGGGGGGCUGGUGGGAUCUGACCUGUGCGUCCUGGCAGAUGGACGCCGACUACGACCCCAGCCAGCCGAGGAAGAAAAAGCGCGAGGCCCCCUUGACAGGCAAGAAGAAGCGCAAGUCGCCCUUCGCCGCGGCCGUGGGGCAGGAGAAGCCCGUGUUCGAACCCGGUGAGGCCCAGGUGGGCAGGCCGUGGGUAGGCAGGGGGCACUGCGGGGCCUGGCAUAGCCCAGCAGCCUGGCUCUGUCUCGAGCAGGGGAUAAGACGUUCGAGGAGUACCUGGAUGAGUAUUACCGGCUGGACUACGAGGACAUCAUCGACGACCUGCCCUGUCGCUUCAAGUACCGCACAGUGGUGCCCUGUGACUUUGGCCUCAGCACUGAGGAGAUAUUCGCUGCUGACGAUAAGGAGCUGAACCGGUGGUGCUC
rnacentral:sRNA from 1 species